rnacentral:rRNA from 1 species
AUCUACGGCCGCACCACCCUGAAUACACCUGAUCUCAUCUCAUCUCAAGCUAAGCAGGGUCAGGUCUGGUUAGUACUUGGCUGGGAGAUGAAAUGCCCCAGAUA